ensembl:lncRNA
CCCGCUGCCUGAAUGCACACCGGUUUUGUGUAACGUUUGAUAAAAUGUUCUCAUGGUGGCCUCAAGCGAAGAGAGACAUCUCCAACCUUCCGAGAUAGCAAACGUCAUCAUUAACGCCUUGGUCAAGUUGACUCGUCUUCAAUAUAAUGACAAAAAUUCAUCAACUGCAGGAAAACGUUCUGAUAUUCCUUACAAACUACCAAAACCAAACAGUCAAACAAUAGCAUAAAUUAAAGUUCAAUCAAGAGAAAAUAGGUUUGUUUGUUCUCAAAAGAUAUUUAAAGUUACCAGACUUAGUGGGAAGUUUGAGAAAAGAGAACGAACAUCUAACAAAGCAUCACAGAAGGGUUUUCCAGGAGAGACCCAGCUCAGGGGCAAGCUUGCACGGGGGGAGCUGAGCAUCUGUAGGAUUCUGAGCCCAUCGCAUUCUGCCCUGAGCACAUCGCCAUCUGCCACCUCCACACCUGAGCUUGCUGACGGCACAGUGUCCACAUGUCUGUGAACAGCCAGCCACGUGAGCUGGGCCACGAAGGACUCAGGGGCUCUUUCAGUCCUGUGGGCGAGGAACCAAAGCUCUGGCAAGGCCAGAAAACGCAGAGGGCAGCAGGACAGCGGCCAUCAGGAGUGGGCGGGAGGGACCUCCCGGUGGGACCGCGGCAGAGCAGAACAAGGGAGGCAGGCGGGCAGCCAGUACUGCAGAGCCCAGGCCUCCCGGAGGGAAAGGGGGGAUUUCCAAGCCUGAGAAAUGAGAGGAGGCACAGAAGAAAGGCAGGGGGUGACGGGGACAGGAUCUCCCUCGGCUUUUACAAGACGCAGGUCCCCUCGGGCCACAGGGACCCGGGAUUGCUGGGAGACUGCAGCCGACACCAGCACCUGGCGUGGCCUCAGGAGCCCAGCAGGGCUGUGGGUGAAGUGAGCUGUUGAGGUCCCUCAGGAAUUCUACCUCCAUUCACAUUCUCUGUUCAUAAAAUUUCAUCUACUGAUAUACAGGAUUUUCUAACUUCUAUUUUGCCAGCUCCAGAGUUGCAGGGAAGGGGAAGCUGGUGGAGGCCUUCUGUGGCCUGCACCUAAUUGCCUGGACAAAGCCGAACGCUACGUGUUCGGGCAGAAGUGGUUUCUAAAGACUGCAGGCACUUUCAACUCUGAGCACCUAGAAGGAAGGCAGACUCUUCCAGGCAGAGGCUACGGAAGCUACGGCACAAGGGUUGACUGACUAUAAAAUGCAGGCACAUGGCUGGUUUUACCACAUCCAAAAAUACGAUGAUGAUGCUGAUCAGGUUGUGCCACAAAUGACUGAACCUGGGCCCAGCAAUUGUAUUUGAGUAGAAACUGCAAUUACUGGAAAUUUCCUAUUCUCCUUGGUCCAACGACAAGGCUUGGUGAAGAUGACACCAGUGUAUCCCCAGAAAAACUCUCAAGGAUUUACAGAAUCGUGGACUGUUUUCUUCUAAGGGGACAGAGGAGCUGGCUCUUGGGGUUCAGCUGUUUCUUUACAGCCCAGAGAGGUGAGGGAUCUGCCCACAGCGGCCGACUACAGCUGGAUCUCACGGUUCUUGACUUUUAGUACAAGCCCCACAGUGGCAUUCUGCCCCGUGGUAGGCUGGUGGGGGCUUUACAUCAAACUGCGCCUGUUUUCGAAGCCGGCAAACUCUCCACAGGCUUUGCACCACGACGUUUCCUCGCUUUCUCUGCCAAGGUUUUACACAGGUGAGGUUGUGGUGGAACAAGGGUUGCGGGACACCGAGGCACAUGUGCUAUGGCUGAGGCAAAUCCUGGCAACACAACCCGAAGCCAGAGAGAGCCCAGGCUGGUGCUGGAGAGGCACAUCGCUUGAGGUCAGGAGUUCAAGACCAGCCUGGCCAACACAGUGAAACCUCAUCUCUACUAAAGAUUAAAAAAGUAGCUAGGCAUGGUGACACUCACUUGUAACCCCAGCUACUCAGGAGGCUGAGGCAGGAGAAUUCCUUGAAUCCAGGAGGCAGAGGUUGCAGUGAGCCGAGAUCCCACCACUGCACUCCAGCCUGGGUGACAGAGCGAGACUCUGUCUAAAAAAAAAAAAA